ACGAAGGAGCUGAUGGAGCUGAGUAAGGCUGUGAACGCGACACGCUCCCGUCAGGACGUGGCCCAGUCUGAGCUGGACAUCUACCUGAGUCGCCACAACACCGCUCUGACCUAGCUCAACAUGGCCACGCAGUCCCUGCAGACCGCCUCCGACACGCUGCGAGACCGCCGCGCCGCCAUCAAAGAGCUGCAGGUCAAAAUACCCCAGUGUGAGCAGGAGCUCAGGAAGGAUGAGGCGGAGCUGGAGCAGCUGCUGCAAGCAGAUGAUCAGACCAGGGAGCUGGUGGGGGACAUGAGGAGGCCAAGAGCUCCCUGUCCUAUAACCGCAGCAGGGGGAAGGUGCUGGACGCCCUCAUGCAGCAGAAGAGGAGCGGCAAGAUCCCCGGCAUCCUGGGAUGACGAGGUGAUCUUGGGGCCAUCGAUGAGAAGUAUGACAUCGCCAUCUCAUCCAGCUGUGGCUCUCUGGACAACAUCCUGGUGGACAGUAUCGACACAGCCCUGA
rnacentral:lncRNA from 1 species